rnacentral:SRP_RNA from 1 species
CCCUGGCGCUGUAGUGUGUGCCUGUAGUUCCAGCUAUUCAGGGGCUAAGGCAGGAGGAUCUCUUGUAGUGAUCAAGAGUCUGCCAUAAAUUCAGCAUCAAUAUACUGACUUCCUGGGAGAGGAGGACCACCAGGUUGCCUAAGGAGGGAUUUAACAGCCCAGGAAAAAAAACAGAGCAGGUCAAAACUCCUGUGUUGAUCAGUAGUGGGAUCACUAAUAAUGCAAUUUCUCCCAUAGAAAUGGGAGAUCCCGUUUCUU